AUAAUUGCAAAGUGGUGUGGCUCCAAAAGUCUUUUCAGUGCCCUAAAAUGAAUGCCUCAAAUUUUUAAUCUCUCCAAAAGAGUACAAAUCAUUAUUUACUAUGGUUUAUUUACAAUCUGUAAAAUUUCCAGUGAAGUCUUGUGACAACAGAACACUUACAUUUCAAGACACUAAGGAAAAAUCAUACCAGUUCUGUGUAAAAUAGAAACAUUUUAUAAAUCCAGAAAUUAAUCUACAUUCUACCAUUUUCAAAACAAUUUCUGUACAGUUGCUUUGGGGAAAAACAACAAUCCACAUACCACACACAAGAUUUAAGCAUUGUAUCUAGUUUUCUCACUGUUCUGUACCACUGACAAUAUUUGAAACAAAUAAUGAACUAAUUGUUGCAUUGACAAAAUAAUUGAAAUGUUAUGAUUUAAUAAAGUACAUAAUUUAAAGGAUAUCACAUUCAUUACCAUGUUUUAAAUUAGCACGCCAUAUGUUUUUGAAUUCAAUCCUCCAAAGUUUUAAGUCAGUGAGGAUUUUGUAAAGUUAUCUCUCAAAGGAUUUGGAGGGCUAACCUAAUAUACUGUGCUCCUGAAGUUACACUCCCAGAUUGGCAAAUUAAUUUUCUACUGAAGCCAUAAAACAACCUAACAAAAAUGGUGGUUUCUAUUGGUGAUAACCUAACUAACUACCCAGUUCUAUUCUGUGGAAUUUUGAGAGGCAAUGGAAAUCCACUCCAUUAUUUAGCAAUAUUCCACAAUGGAUUGUAGUUUCCAUUGGGUUUCAGAAUUCCCUCAGCAUAUCAAAGGUUUUGCUUUGGCUGUGUAAUAUUCUUCUCUCAUCCCAGAAAUUGAGGGUUGGUGAGAGAGCUGGUGCAGAUCCAUUUCUGCUUGCAUUCGGAACUGAUCACAUGAAUAUGUGUAUUGCAGUAUACCUGAAAAUUCAUUGCAACAUAUCUGAGAGAAUGAUAGCUGAUUUCGUGCUUGCUGCAAGAGGACAAGGUGUUAAGCGUUAAUGGUGCUAAUAUCCUGCUUCCCAGAUCCUCAGCUGAAUCCUGUGGAAGGUUUUGGGUAGCAUGAGAUGGAUGGGAGUAGUUAUAAAGACGUGAUCUGUGUAAAUAACCGAAAUCUCUCCCCUCUGGUGAAUGAGUAGCAGCUGUUCCAGCCUGCAAGACUGAGAGAUUUCAGUAAGCAUGAAAACUUGAAGAGAAGUGGAAUGGAAUUCCUGGAUCAUCAAGAGUGUUAGAGUGUCAGCUGCAUUGUGUGGGUGUGUCUCAUGAACGCAACAAGGAAUUUCUGUAUCGAUGUGAAAUAAACAAUAAAUAUAUUUUAAGAAAAUAUAAAUCAAAAGUUUUCAGGAGAUAAGUUG